rnacentral:rRNA from 1 species
UGCCAGCAGCCGUGGUAAUACGGAGGGUGCGAGCGUUGUCCGGAUUUAUUGGGUUUAAAGGGUGCGUAGGCGGUCUUUUAAGUCAGAGCUGAAAUCCAACGGCUUAACCGUUGAGCUGGCUUUGAUACUGGAAGACUUGAGUACAGACGAGGUAGGCGGAAUUUAUGGUGUAGCGGUGAAAUGCAUAGAUACCAUAAAGAACACCGAUAGCGAAGGCAGCUUACUAGACUGUAACUGACGCUGAGGCACGAAAGCGUGGGUAGCGAACAGGAUUAGAUA